AAAAGAAAAAAACAACCGCACACUGAAUAUGCGUAAAGACUGCGGGAGUGCGGAUUUUAAUAACGAUUUAACCAAAUCCAAUGUUAAGGAUAUUUUAAAUUAAUUCUACAGCGUCUGGUUAUUUUCAUUGUUAUAUGACCACUUUACUGGCGUAAAAACCGUCGGACGGGCUUUUACAAAUAUUAUUAAUCUGCAUAGUGCAUAGUUAUGUUGCAUAUUCGCUAUAUGGCACGGCUUAUGUAACGUACUCUAGUAUAUAAGCGGGAUGUCUGUACAUUUGCUAAACUGAUCAGUUUAUCCACUAAUAAGUUUGCUUUAGUACACAAUGCAGUAUAUGUGGCAACGCUACACUAAUGUACCUGCUGUAUUUGAAAGAAUGUUCAAUUUUUUAAACAUUCUUAUACUCGGGAAAUAUAAUGUGCGUGAAUAUCUGCAUAUUACACACAACAUCGGGUGGUCCAUAUUUGUUUGAAUCCACCGCAACUUUCUGCGUCGAGGGGCGAGGUUCACGUCCAGGUUUAUUCCGGACGUUUCGUGGGUUUUCUUCUCAAUUGUGAAUGAUUCGAAAAAUGCUCCGCUUCGUUUUCGCGUUCUCCUAAGCUUGAGUAACAACAGAGUAAAAUUACGACUGCCUAAACAAUUCCGGGUGAACAAGUCUGACUAGAUAGUAAACAUGCGCUUAAACGCAACCACGUAAAACCAUAGAGUCCUAAAAAUUGUAUCGAGCUUAUUCAUAAACAUACCAUUUUACACAAGUUUAAAAAAACUACUAAUUGAACUGCAAUAUAUUGAAUGAAAAACAAUUUCGCAUUAGUCUACAGUAGUGGACAAAAAUGUGCAAAUAGGUCACUGACUAUUGGGAAAACAAAUAUUUUCACCAUGGCCGUCCUCAUCUUAUUAAUUACGUAUUUAACAAUAUACAAUAAAAGCAAUCACAACGUGUGUGUAAUAUCAUUGAAAAUAAAGCAAGCCAUUCUUAUAUUAAUGUUUUCUUCAAAGGUUAUUUCCGAGCGUUUUCAUUGCUAACGUCCAGCAGCGCAAAAUGGGGGCCUUUGUAACGUUCCGUGAUGUAGCUUACCCUGCGCGUAAAAAUUAGAGCGUAGCGUUAAAAUAAAUCGUCCCUUUCAAAAAUAUUUGAGGCAUAACACAUAAAGCCAGAGAAAACACAUAUUCCUCAACACCGGAAGGUCUCGGUUAAAGCUGAAAUGAAAAUACGAUUUAGAAGGGAAAAUAUAAGGGUCCAUGGUCAAUUUUAAAGAUCUAGGUAAAGUAUAGGCAUAGUAUCGAGGCAUGAAAAAUAAACAUUCUGAGGUUUCAGUCAGUUUUAUAGUUUUCUCUGGAUCUUUACAUACACAUUGAAAGACAAUUUUUAUGACGUAUAAAUUAUACAUUUAGGUCUAAGGUACUACAAGCAUCGUAUUCUUAACUGGUUAUUUGCGCAUCAAGUUUUUAUUCUACACAAAACGGUAUACCGUACUCCUUUCUGAUUUCUGAUUGCGGUUUUUUUAGAAUUUUACCUAUUCUCUCCUUACAGUAACCUUUUGUGUGUGUGUGUGUGUGUGUGUGUGUGCGCGCGCGCCCGUGUGUGUGAGAGCGUGCGUGCGUGUAUUGCGGUCGAUUUAGGCCAAAUAAUUAAAAACUACUCAGUAUAAGCGUGCAGGCUAGUAAUACACAGGUGUUAUAAAUAAAAUAGUUAAACAAGUAUUCAGGCAAUGGAAUCCUUACAUUAACUGUCGUGAUGCAUUUACGUCUUUCAGGACUGUAAGUUAGUAUAGCAAAACAAUUUAAUUGAACACAUACAAGUGCUGGCGCAAUUGCAUGAUGUUGCUAAAUAUACUUUUAAUCUUCUCGAGAACACCUCAGUAUUAUUCUGGCGGGCCAUGUCUCAUUAACAUGCUUCACAUUUGAAUAAUUGUAACAAAGAGCCAAGUCUAAGCCUUCGUGGCGACACGCUCCGCCUCUGAGUCAAUUCAGACAAAUUCUACCACUUGUGUUGGGGCUUUUAAGCCAUAAUUGAAUGCAGGAUGCCCACGAAAGCCAAAACCAGUCAGAGACUGACCUGCGGUUUUAUACCGCUUCUGGUAGUCAACUGGGGUUUUUUUUUUCACUGUAGACAUGACAAAACUGACCAACCGUGAUCGACAUACGCCACCUACGUGGAAAUCCACGAUCUCUGAUGAAAUUAGGAGCCAAAACUAACCGUCGUCAGUGACACAAAGCCGGUUUAUGAAAGGACUCGGGGAGAAUUGAAGGCUGAGACACCGCGCCAAAGAAAUCUUCACAAGUGAAAUCAGUGGCUACAACUACUACAAAUUGAAAUGAUCUGAAAUGGUCUGAAAAAUUCCAGGAAAAUGAGUCGGAAACUCCUGGAUCUUGUGGGCCCACCGAACGUAGAGCCCCGAACAGUACCCGAAUCUGUCAAAGAAGCAUUAUAUAUAAUAAGGUUGUUAUGUUUUAGGCAGCAAAUGCAACUCAAAUAUUUGCACUUGUUAUAAUAAUGAUUAUCAUUAUUAGCAUAGCUAUUUUAUAUCUCAAUAAUAGGUAUCAUACGCAAAAUACAAAACUUUGUAGAUAGUCCCACUGUUUAGAAAUAUACAUUUCCCGUGGCUUUCAGUAUAUGUUAUUUCCCGUUGUGUAAUAUGUUUAGUUUAGAUCACAAUAUAAACGUAGAAAUAUUUGACCCUUAAAUCAAUUGAAUAAGUGCCAAAAUUUAUCUUUGCCCACUUUCUGUUAAAGUGUUUGCUUAGAAAUUACAUGUGUAACAAUUGCCCACCGCCGAAGGGUAUUGAGCGAUGCCCAAACUCUGAUUAUUUUACUGAAAAUUUAAAUAUUAUGAGCCUCGGGUAAAGUCGUUAUUGCCGUUAUUGUGUAAGCUGUACGCAAUUAUUCUUGUUUUCGUUCUGAAACUCUUUGGAAUAUCACUGUUGUCUUCGAAUCGAAUGUACUAUAUUCUUGGCUUUCUGCGCCACCAAUAUUUACGUGUAAUAUCUUUUCAGGUAUUAGAAAUUAACGUUAUUGGUAAAUAUCGGUACAAUCACAUAAGCAUUAAUAUGUCGGACAGAAUGUAUUGUGCAGAAUUUCGCAGAACUGGACCGGUUAUAUAGAUAAAUUUGCGCAAUUGUAAAUAAGAGUGUUUUUAUUGUCUAUGCUAUGCGAAUACGGGAUUUACAGAUUUAAUAUAACAAAUAAAAUUAUUAUUAUUAGUAGUAGUAGUAUUAGUAUUAUGGGUUUUGAUAAUUGAUGUUUUUUUCGAUGGGUACAUUUUUCAUUCUAACAAAAAUGUCGACCUCUAAAGGCAGUAAACAAAGUUUGCAUGCUUAAUGAAAAUGCCAUAGCUAAAAUUAUUAAAAUAUUGUCAACUCAGAUUAUUCAUCACCAGAAGUAAAGAAGUGUGGUUUUAAAACGGCGAUUGUAAUUAAGCAUCGUCUUCCGCUCGCGUAUAUGUCUGAAGGUAAAAAAAAAAAAAAAAAAACGGCGCGCGG